AAGUCGUAACAAGGUUUCCGUAGGUGAACCUGCGGAAGGAUCAUUAUCAAUGAUAUCCAUCAUACACCGUGAACUUUAUGAACUGUCUUUGGGGAUUUUGUAGCCUCUUACUAUUUGUAGCCUUACUAAGGUUUCACCUACUAAGGUGUUUCAAGUCCCCAAUAAAUCAACACAACCUUACAACUUAUAGCAGAGUCAAUUAUUAAAUUAAUUUAGACAACUUUUAGCAACGGAUCUCUAGGUUCUC
rnacentral:misc_RNA from 1 species